rnacentral:misc_RNA from 1 species
GAUGAAGAACGUAGCGAAAUGCGAUAAGUAAUGUGAAUUGCAGAAUUCAGUGAAUCAUCGAAUCUUUGAACGCACAUUGCGCCCCCUGGUAUUCCGGGGGGCAUGCCUGUUCGAGCGUCAUUUCACCACUCAAGCCUCGCUUGGUAUUGGGCAACGCGGUCCGCCGCGUGCCUCAAAUCGUCCGGCUGGGUCUUCUGUCCCCUAAGCGUUGUGGAAACUAUUCGCUAAAGGGUGUUCGGGAGGCUACGCCGUAAAACAACCCCAUUUCUAAGGUUGACCUCGGAUCAGGUAGGGAUACCCGCUGAACUUAAGCAUAUAUAAGCGGAGGA